GACGAACGCUGGCGGCGUGCUUAACACAUGCAAGUCGAACGGAAAGGCCCUGCUUUUGUGGGGUGCUCGAGUGGCGAACGGGUGAGUAACACGUGAGUAACCUGCCCUUGACUUUGGGAUAACUUCAGGAAACUGGGGCUAAUACCGGAUAGGAGCUCCUGCUGCAUGGUGGGGGUUGGAAAGUUUCGGCGGUUGGGGAUGGACUCGCGGCUUAUCAGCUUGUUGGUGGGGUAGUGGCUUACCAAGGCUUUGACGGGUAGCCGGCCUGAGAGGGUGACCGGCCACAUUGGGACUGAGAUACGGCCCAGAGUCCUACGGGGGGCAGCAGUGGGGAAUAUUGCACAAUGGGCGGAAGCCUGAUGCAGCAGCGCCGCGUGCGUGAUGACGGCCUUCGGGUUGUAAACCGCUUUCGCCUGUGACGAAGCGUGAGUGACGGUAAUGGGUAAAGAAGCACCGGCUAACUACGUG
rnacentral:rRNA from 1 species